UAAGACCAAGGUUUCCUGCGCAACGUUAAUCGACGCAGGGUUAGUCGGUCCCUAAGGCGAGGCUGAAAAGCGUAGUCGAUGGAAAACAGGUUAAUAUUCCUGUACUUCUGGUUAUUGCGAUGGAGGGACGGAGAAGGCUAGGCCAGCUUGGCGUUGGUUGUCCAAGUUUAAGGUGGUAGGCUGGAAUCUUAGGUAAAUCCGGGAUUCUAAGGCCGAGAGCUGAUGACGAGUGUUCUUUUAGAACACGAAGUGGUUGAUGCCAUGCUUCCAAGAAAAGCUUCUAAGCUUCAGGUAACCAGGAACCGUACCCCAAACCGACACAGGUGGUUGGGUAGAGAAUACCAAGGCGCUUGAGAGAACUCGGGUGAAGGAACUAGGCAAAAUGGCACCGUAACUUCGGGAGAAGGUGCGCCGGUGAGGGUGAAGCAUUUACUGCGUAAGCCCAUGCCGGUCGAAGAUACCAGGCCGCUGCGACUGUUUAUUAAAAACACAGCACUCUGCAAACACGAAAGUGGACGUAUAGGGUGUGACGCCUCCCCGGUGCCGGAAGGUUAAUUGAUGGGGUUAGCUAACGCGAAGCUCUUGAUCGAAGCCCCGGUAAACGGCGGCCGUAACAAUAACGGUCCUAAGGUAGCGAAAUUCCUUGUCGGGUAAGUUCCGACCUGCACGAAUGGCGUAACGAUGGCGGCGCUGUCUCCACCCGAGACUCAGUGAAAUUGAAAUCGCUGUGAAGAUGCAGUGUAUCCGCGGCUAGACGGAAAGACCCCGUGAACCUUUACUAUAGCUUUGCACUGGACUUUGAAUUUGCUUGUGUAGGAUAGGUGGGAGGCUUUGAAGCGUGGACGCCAGUUCGCGUGGAGCCAACCUUGAAAUACCACCCUGGCAACUUUGAGGUUCUAACUCAGGUCCGUUAUCCGGAUCGAGGACAGUGUAUGGUGGGUAGUUUGACUGGGGCGGUCUCCUCCUAAAGAGUAACGGAGGAGUACGAAGGUGCGCUCAGACCGGUCGGAAAUCGGUCGUAGAGUAUAAAGGCAAAAGCGCGCUUGACUGCGAGACAGACACGUCGAGCAGGUACGAAAGUAGGUCUUAGUGAUCCGGUGGUUCUGUAUGGAAGGGCCAUCGCUCAACGGAUAAAAGGUACUCCGGGGAUAACAGGCUGAUACCGCCCAAGAGUUCAUAUCGACGGCGGUGUUUGGCACCUCGAUGUCGGCUCAUCACAUCCUGGGGCUGAAGCCGGUCCCAAGGGUAUGGCUGUUCGCCAUUUAAAGUGGUACGCGAGCUGGGUUUAGAACGUCGUGAGACAGUUCGGUCCCUAUCUGCCGUGGACGUUUGAGAUUUGAGAGGGGCUGCUCCUAGUACGAGAGGACCGGAGUGGACGAACCUCUGGUGUUCCGGUUGUCACGCCAGUGGCAUUGCCGGGUAGCUAUGUUCGGAAUAGAUAACCGCUGAAAGCAUCUAAGCGGGAAACUAGCCUCAAGAUGAGAUCUCACUGGGACCUUGAGUCCCCUGAAGGGCCGUCGAAGACUACGACGUUGAUAGGUUGGGUGUGUAAGCGCUGUGAGGCGUUGAGCUAACCAAUACUAAUUGCCCGUGAGGCUUGACC
rnacentral:rRNA from 1 species